UCCGCAUUUAUUACUCCUCAAACAAGUAGUAACUCUCUAGUCGUCUCUCUUCUCAGCCGUCACACUCACACUCUCUCAACUUCUCAAGAUCAUUCAAAUAAUAUGUCAUACUUCAUAUUCAUAAGAUGGAUUCUGCACCAAAAUCCACUCAAAUUGACGGGGAAGAAGGUUACCCGGAGCUUGAAUUUGUUAAGGAAACAUGGGGUAAAUCGGUUAAACAACAAAAGGGAAAGAAAAUCGGCCACACUUACAAGCCUGGUAAGAAUUUUAAGCGAUGUAGAAAGCUUACCUCUGGUGUGUGGGUGAAUUUUACCAUUUUAGAACUUGACCCUGAUGGUAAUUUGUGGUGUAAGUGUAAGAAAUGUGGCAAGAUUUAUAGUGCUGAUAGUAAUUAUGGUACUGGUAAUUUGCUUCGACAUUCUACUAGUUGUAAGAAGAAAAAUAGUAGAGAUAUUGGUCAAAUGCUUUUGCAAUCUAGUGUUGAUGGUCUGAAAACUUGAAAUCCUACCUUUGAUAUUGAAGUUUUUCGUGAUUUUCUUGCUGUUGCUAUUGUUAAGCAUGGGUUGCCCUUUCAAUUUGCUGAAUAUGAAGGGAUUAGGAAUGUAUUCUCUUACUUGCAACCUGAUGUGAAAUUGUUCUCUAGAAACACCACAAAAAAUGAUAUAAUUAAACUUUACAAUAUGGAGAAAGUAAGACUUGGUGCUGCCUUGCAUGAAGUUUCUUGGAGAAUUUCUUUAACAUCUGAUUGUUGGUCAUCUCUUACCACUGAUGGAUAUAUAUCACUUACUGCACACUAUAUUGAUGAGUCUUGGACUUUACAGAAAAGGAUUUUGAACUUCUCUUUAAUGCCCCCACCCCAUACUGGUGUUGCUAUGUCUGAAAAAAUUUACACAUUGCUAAAAUAGUGGAGAAUUGAGAAAAAAAUAAUGUCAAUGACUUUGGAUAAUGCUUCUGCAAAUGAUGUGUUUGUUGAUUGUUUGAUAGGAAAUCUUGAUUUGUUGUGUGAUGGGACAUAUUUUCAUAUUCGUUGUUGCUGUCGUAUUCUGAAUUUGGUAGUCCAAGAGGGACUUAAGGAGGUUGAUGACGCUGUUUGUAAGGUUAGAGAAACUUUGAAAUAUUGCAAGGGUUCACAGUCUAGGAAACAAAGAUUUCUUGAUUGCGUUGCUUAUGUUUCAUUGUGUUCAUCUAAGGGGUUGAGGCAAGAUGUGCCAACUCGAUGGAACUCUACUUAUAUGAUGUUAGAGAGUGAUAUAUUUUACAGAAAGGCUUUUGUUCAUCUUCAAAAAACUGAUACUAACUAUGUGCAUUGUCCAACAAAUGAGGAGUGGUCUAGGCUUGAGAAAAUUUUCAAGUUUUUGAAAGUUUUUUAUGAUGUUACUUGUGCUUUUUCUGGUUCAAAAUACCCUACUGCAAAUCUCUACUUUCCUAAUUUUAUGAAGGUAAGAUUGUUGUUGAAAUAUGAAAUGGAAAGUGUUGAUUCUUUUGUUAGAAAGAUGGCAUUGAGAAUGUGGGGUAAGUUUGAGAAAUAUUAAUCUGAUUUCUCUCCCAUUAUGGCUAUUGCUGCGGUUAUGGAUCCUCGAUACAAAUUUCAGUUGGUGAGUUUUGUAUAUGCCAAAGUAUAUGAUUCAAAUGCCUCUUUUGAGGUGUCAUGCUUGUAAGACAAGUUAUUUGAGUUGUUUAAUUCAUAUGUUACUUCUUCAACUCAAUCAUAUGGUGGAUCAUCCACACCUUCUAAAACUAAUCAUGGUGGUGUGAACUUUGUUCCUGCUGAUGGCUUCAUGAAGGACUUUGAUGAUUUCUUUGGAGGGGAAUUUGCUAGUACUCCAAAAUCUAAACUUGAAGUAUUCUUGGAGGAGCCUUUAAUUCCUCGUAUCAAUGAAUUGGACAUCCUUGAUUUUUGGAAAUCAAGUCAAUUUCGCUUCCCCAUUCUUUCUCUUAUGGUUAGAGAUAUCCAUUGUAUGCAUAUUUCAACUGUCGCUUCAGAAUCUGCAUUUAUUAUUGGUGGGAGGGUUUUAGACCCUGUUAGGAGCUCUUUAAAGCCAUCUGUUGUGGAAGCAUUGAUAUGUCUAAGAGAUUGAUUGUAUGGGCAGGAAGCUGAUGAGAUUGUUGGGGUGGAGGAUAUAUGUGACAACAUCAUGAAUUUAAAGCUUGAUAUUAAUGAAACUUCAUGUCCAAGCACUACACCAAGUCCUGUUUUGGCUAGUGGAAGUGGGAGCACUCCUUGUUCAACUUCCAAACCUGUUGUUAAUGUUCUUGAUUAGGUACCCUUGCAAGAGGAGGUGGCUUGAAUUGGUGGCAUAUGAAAUUUGGAAUUCAAGUGGAAGUUGUCAAUCUUGUCGUCACAAAUCUGAUUACGGAAUGAACAUUUUGGGUUUUUUUUGAACAAUUAAGUGACAUGUAAUAUUUUGAACAAUUAAUAUUUUGGGCAAACUUUAAUUUCUGGUUUGUAAUAUUUUGGCCUUUUGGGCAAACAUGGCUACUAUGGUUGGUUUGGUAAUGUUGAAAAUAUUUGGGGCCAAGUGAGCCUAUUUUUGUGGGUUAAUUGAGAUAAUCAGGUUUUUUUUUUUUU